rnacentral:rRNA from 1 species
UACAGAGGGUGCGAGCGUUGUCCGGAAUCAGCUGGGCGUAAAGGGCGCGUAGGCGGUCUGCUAAGCGUGCGGUGAAAGCCCGGGGCUCAACCCCGGGUCGGCCGUGCGAACUGGUGGACUGGAGCUGUCAGAGGCAGGCGGAAUUCCGGGUGUAGCGGUGGAAUGCGUAGAGAUCCGGAAGAACACCGGUGGCGAAGGCGGCCUGCUGGGACAGUG